rnacentral:tRNA from 1 species
UAACAAGAAGAGAUUAUCUCUAAAAAUAAAUUUACAGUUUACCGCUAAAACUUUAGCUUUCCUGUU